AUGCGGUUCUGGAUGCCCGAGCGUGACUUCGUCGCCGGAAGGAGAUCUGUCGAUGGUGGCGGUUCAAAGUUCGUCGGCUGCUGGUCGGGAGUACAGGAGGUUCGACAAUUGUGUGCGGAGUUCGAAUUGCUCCAUGUUCUUGGAAUCUAUAUCAAAUCCCUUUGUACCUACCCUAUCAUGAGAAAAAAACCCAACAUAUUCUUGUUAUUUGAUUUGUAA